GCUUGCCAAACUCCCUACAGAAGGUUUCAGAAGCCUUGUUUCACUAAAGAGCCUACACAUUUACAACUGCCCCAAACUUGGGACUCGGGAAGAUGAUAGAGCCCUGCUUCCCAGCUCACUUGAAGAUCUUAGGAUAAGUUCAUGCUCCAAACUGGUUAAAAAGCUACUUGAAGAGCUUAAGCACCUCUCAUAUCUUCAACAUCUGAGGAUCAAAGAUUGCCCUGACCUGUAUUAUUUUCCGGAGGAAGGACUUCCUAUCACACUUAAGUUUAUUGGGAUAUCUGAUUGCAUCAACCUCCAACUAUUGCCUGCCAGGAUUCAAGAACUCUCUUCACUGACAACUCUGACCAUAGUCAAUUGCCAACAAGUCCAGUACUUGCCAGAGGCAGGCCUACCCAUUGAACUGCAAGAAUUAUGCAUCAAAGAAUGUCCAUUGUUGAAAGAGCGUUGUCAAGAGAGAACCGGAGAAGACUGGCACAAGAUAGUUCACAUCCCCAGAAUAGAAAUUGAUGAGUUAAUUCUGAGGCGAUUAGGUUAACAGCAACCUGCUGCAUCAUUGCACAGCCUGCACAAAGAAAAAUGCCAUGAUGCACUAUGAUGAUACCAAGUCCAUUGCCAACAAUUACUUUUAUUUAAUCCUUCAAUCACUACAUCCAAUGAGAAAGUUGGUAUCAACCAUUGUUCCUGUCCAUACACAACAUUGUUCAAUGGACAGUAGUCAUUUAAUAUAACAUACUACUGUUCUGGUAUUGUUACAUGGUCACUUGAUCAUCUUGAUUACCACCUAGGUGGUGGGCAAGGCUCAAGGCACUCGAGUGAUGCCUGAUCGGGUCAUUAUAUGCCGAUACACAAUCAUUCAUAUUUUUGUAGGCCAAUGCACACAUUCAUGUAUGAAUGAAUUAUAUUAAAUUUAUGUGUCAAAAUCUUGAUUCCUAUGUUAGGAUCCAACAAACCUGAACCAACCAACACCAUCUAAUACAUUGUAGGAUAUGAAAUUGGUGAAAUUGUGAUAAGAUCUAGAUCUGAAUCUUAGGAUUGCGUGGGAUCGAAAAUCCUACUUUGGAUCCAAAGGAUCACAAAUAAAGAUCAAUUUUUCUGAUCAAACUUACCCUAGAUUUAGCAUGUGGCUUAUUAUCACCAUAAAAGCAGGUAAGGACGAGUUGCAAAAGAUCAUAACUCUAACAUCUCACUUGGCUCUUUACCAUCUUUAGUGCUAAUGCCCUAUUAUCAUCUCAUGUUAUGUCAUGAUUGUGCUCUCUUCAUCUCUUGCCAUUCUGUUUGCCAUCUCUAACAUCUCGCUUGGCUCUUUACCAUCUUUAUGCUAAUGCCCUGUCAUCAUCACGUUAUGUCAAGACUCUGAUCUCUUCAUCUCUUGAAGUUCUGCUUGCCAUCUCAUCUGCUACUAGGCACUAGCCAUUCCUUUCAGAAUUUUCAUCUCAGUUGCUCCUAUCUUAAAUCCUUCAUCUUAAUUAUUUUUCCUCUCAUAUUUGCCACACACAGUCCCACCUUUCAGCCAUUUAUAUUGCUCCUCACUCCUAUUUGGCUUCCCAAAUAGUCAUCCCUAAGAGACAGGUAAAUACAAAUCACAUGGCUAUCCCUAAUAGCAUACCAAGACAGGUAAAAAUUUGUAGUAGCAUGAUGUUUAAAUGAAUGCAUAUUUUACUAAAUUAGUGUAAUGGAAUAGUGUUAAUUUGAUGGAUAUUGCAUUAUGCACAUGUGUGAAGUUGUCCUCAACUGUUAAUGAUGAUGCUUGUCAUAUUAAUAUGAUAAUUUGAUAUUUUGUCUUUUUAGUGAAACACAUUGAUCAUUAUCCUGUACUUUGUGAUGUUGUCACAGUGUAUAAAACUUGGAUGCCCUCUUGUCUUCCUCACAUGGAACAGUUUUACAGAACCUGAUCUAUUCCAUCUUCCUAAACAACAAAAAAACCGGGCUUAUUGAAUUCUUAGAUUUCUUAUUUAUUAUACAUUCUCAGGUUGCCUUAUUUUAGUGUUACUGCAUCCGCUCAUGACUGAUUCUAGAUGGUGCCUAGAGAUAAUAAAUUAUUUUUGGCUCCUUGUUUUCCAGAUAUAGACUAGCAAAUUAUAUUAAAAAUGCUCAGAAAACUGGAAUAGCAAACCAAAACUUAAUUUUCUGAAAUUUCUUACAACCAAAAAAUAUCUUGUUAUAAUAAAAAACAAAAAGUUAAAGCUGAGACAAAACAUAAAACCUAGUAAAUAAAUUCAAAUUCUCAAAAUAGUAUAAUAUUAAGAAAAUAUGUUAUCGGUAGGUCUACAUUGUAGACUAGAUCUGUGAAGUACUUGAGCUACAUACUCUGAUACAUAUAAGUCAUUAUUAACCAAGUUUAUAGAAUGGAGCAGAAGUCCUUAAGACCUACAGAAUUAACUUAAAUGAUUAUAACCCAUAAGCCCUUUUCCAUUUCAGUUUAAGAUAUAUGAAUAACAUCUUAGUGUAAGAACAAACUCUAGCUUCACCAACUGAAGAUUUACAUUGCACAUGGUUUUGCAGUUCCAGGUGAAUCAUUCAUCAUUUUGUCCAGCUUUCUUGUCCUCAUUUCAGGCUUUCCAAUUAUUGAAUUAUCUUCACAAAAGAAAAGCUCAAGUUCCAUGACAAUACUCGAAAGUUAGUAAUCAACUUAAGAGAGGCUAUUCAGAUUGUUUUGUGUAUCAUUAGCACAUACUAAGAACAAGAUUCAAGUAGAGAAUGUUCUUCCAGAGGGGCAGUUUAUAGGAAGGAUCGAUCAUACAUCAAUCUCUUGAUCACUUCAUGGGUUUCCAAGGGUUAUUUUAUAGACAAGAAGAAGCUAUAUUCCACCUACAAUGUGCAUCUCUUUGUGCUUCUAGGAGACUUAUAUCCCCAUGUAAAUUGUCAUAUCUGUGUUUGGGUUCACAUUCCUUCUUUAAGAGAGCUAAUAGGCAUGUUGUCUGCUAUGUACAGUAAAUUUAUUAGUAAGGCUACCUAUCACCUGAUAACACGAAUACAGCACAUACCACAAAGAAUGAAACCUCAACAAAGCCAAAGAAGGAUCCUGUUACCUUACCACACCCCAUCCUAAAAGCAGCUAUAGAGCACCAUACUAAACAUGCAUAAACUACAUAUCACGAAGCAUACCACAGAAACACUUGAAACUACUACAACUUUCCAUCAACAAAUUAGCCCUAAAUCGGUUCAUUAGGAGAAUGCCAGUGUCAAAAGCAACGAGAAAAAAGGAUGACACAGAGGGCGAAAGGAUCGAUUGGUUCAUAAGGAUCGUGAUCUUGAUGAUUGAAGAGGCGUAGCAGUUCGUCCUUACCAGGCUCCCUCUCAUGUGGAUCGUGGGGAACAGCAGUCCUCCAUCGUGCUCCAUGCUUUUGUCUGCGGGAUCGACGAGAACUGUGGAAAUAAACGGAGAAAGAUCAAGAAAAAGAAGGAACGUUUUGCCCGCCUCUCCCUCGGUCUGUCAUACUCCUUGAAGCCUGUCAGGUUGGGCCGAUUGAUUCGCCAAGAGACGGUGAGCCCAUCUCCAAUUUGAAAUGGGCCGAAGUCAGGUUGAUCGUUGACCUUUUCAUAUAACUGGCAUCAUGUGAAAUAUCAGAUAUGCCCC
rnacentral:lncRNA from 1 species